rnacentral:rRNA from 1 species
GGGUUGUGAGGUUAAGCGACUAAGCGUACACGGUGGAUGCCCUGGCAGUCAGAGGCGAUGAAGGACGUGCUAAUCUGCGAUAAGCGUCGGUAAGGUGAUAUGAACCGUUAUAACCGGCGAUUUCCGAAUGGGGAAACCCAGUGUGAUUCGUCACACUAUCAUUAACUGAAUCCAUAGGUUAAUGAGGCGAACCGGGGGAACUGAAACAUCUAAGUACCCGAGGAAAAGAAAUCAACCGAGAUUCCCCAGUAGCGGCGAGCGAACGGGGAGGAGCCCAGAGCCUGAAUCAGUGUGUGUGUUAGUGGAAGCGUCUGGAAAGGCGCGCGAUACAGGGUGACAGCCCCGUACACAAAAAUGCACAUGCUGUGAGCUCGAUGAGUAGGGCGGGACACGUGGUAUCCUGUCUGAAUAUGGGGGGACCAUCCUCCAAGGCUAAAUACUCCUGACUGACCGAUAGUGAACCAGUACCGUGAGGGAAAGGCGAAAAGAACCCCGGCGAGGGGAGUGAAAAAGAACCUGAAACCGUGUACGUACAAGCAGUGGGAGCACAGAGCAAUCUGUGUGACUGCGUACCUUUUGUAUAAUGGGUCAGCGACUUAUAUUCUGUAGCAAGGUUAACCGAAUAGGGGAGCCGAAGGGAAACCGAGUCUUAACCGGGCGUUAAGUUGCAGGGUAUAGACCCGAAACCCGGUGAUCUAGCCAUGGGCAGGUUGAAGGUUGGGUAACACUAACUGGAGGACCGAACCGACUAAUGUUGAAAAAUUAGCGGAUGACUUGUGGCUGGGGGUGAAAGGCCAAUCAAACCGGGAGAUAGCUGGUUCUCCCCGAAAGCUAUUUAGGUAGCGCCUCGUGAAUUCAUCUCCGGGGGUAGAGCACUGUUUCGGCAAGGGGGUCAUCCCGACUUACCAACCCGAUGCAAACUGCGAAUACCGGAGAAUGUUAUCACGGGAGACACACGGCGGGUGCUAACGUCCGUCGUGAAGAGGGAAACAACCCAGACCGCCAGCUAAGGUCCCAAAGUCAUGGUUAAGUGGGAAACGAUGUGGGAAGGCCCAGACAGCCAGGAUGUUGGCUUAGAAGCAGCCAUCAUUUAAAGAAAGCGUAAUAGCUCACUGGUCGAGUCGGCCUGCGCGGAAGAUGUAACGGGGCUAAACCAUGCACCGAAGCUGCGGCAGCGACACUGUGUGUUGUUGGGUAGGGGAGCGUUCUGUAAGCCUGUGAAGGUGUACUGUGAGGUAUGCUGGAGGUAUCAGAAGUGCGAAUGCUGACAUAAGUAACGAUAAAGCGGGUGAAAAGCCCGCUCGCCGGAAGACCAAGGGUUCCUGUCCAACGUUAAUCGGGGCAGGGUGAGUCGACCCCUAAGGCGAGGCCGAAAGGCGUAGUCGAUGGGAAACAGGUUAAUAUUCCUGUACUUGGUGUUACUGCGAAGGGGGGACGGAGAAGGCUAUGUUGGCCGGGCGACGGUUGUCCCGGUUUAAGCGUGUAGGCUGGUUUUCCAGGCAAAUCCGGAAAAUCAAGGCUGAGGCGUGAUGACGAGGCACUACGGUGCUGAAGCAACAAAUGCCCUGCUUCCAGGAAAAGCCUCUAAGCAUCAGGUAACAUCAAAUCGUACCCCAAACCGACACAGGUGGUCAGGUAGAGAAUACCAAGGCGCUUGAGAGAACUCGGGUGAAGGAACUAGGCAAAAUGGUGCCGUAACUUCGGGAGAAGGCACGCUGAUAUGUAGGUGAAGUCCCUCGCGGAUGGAGCUGAAAUCAGUCGAAGAUACCAGCUGGCUGCAACUGUUUAUUAAAAACACAGCACUGUGCAAACACGAAAGUGGACGUAUACGGUGUGACGCCUGCCCGGUGCCGGAAGGUUAAUUGAUGGGGUCAGCGCAAGCGAAGCUCUUGAUCGAAGCCCCGGUAAACGGCGGCCGUAACUAUAACGGUCCUAAGGUAGCGAAAUUCCUUGUCGGGUAAGUUCCGACCUGCACGAAUGGCGUAAUGAUGGCCAGGCUGUCUCCACCCGAGACUCAGUGAAAUUGAACUCGCUGUGAAGAUGCAGUGUACCCGCGGCAAGACGGAAAGACCCCGUGAACCUUUACUAUAGCUUGACACUGAACAUUGAGCCUUGAUGUGUAGGAUAGGUGGGAGGCUUUGAAGUGUGGACGCCAGUCUGCAUGGAGCCGACCUUGAAAUACCACCCUUUAAUGUUUGAUGUUCUAACGUGGACCCGUGAUCCGGGUUGCGGACAGUGUCUGGUGGGUAGUUUGACUGGGGCGGUCUCCUCCUAAAGAGUAACGGAGGAGCACGAAGGUUGGCUAAUCCUGGUCGGACAUCAGGAGGUUAGUGCAAUGGCAUAAGCCAGCUUGACUGCGAGCGUGACGGCGCGAGCAGGUGCGAAAGCAGGUCAUAGUGAUCCGGUGGUUCUGAAUGGAAGGGCCAUCGCUCAACGGAUAAAAGGUACUCCGGGGAUAACAGGCUGAUACCGCCCAAGAGUUCAUAUCGACGGCGGUGUUUGGCACCUCGAUGUCGGCUCAUCACAUCCUGGGGCUGAAGUAGGUCCCAAGGGUAUGGCUGUUCGCCAUUUAAAGUGGUACGCGAGCUGGGUUUAGAACGUCGUGAGACAGUUCGGUCCCUAUCUGCCGUGGGCGCUGGAGAACUGAGGGGGGCUGCUCCUAGUACGAGAGGACCGGAGUGGACGCAUCACUGGUGUUCGGGUUGUCAUGCCAAUGGCACUGCCCGGUAGCUAAAUGCGGAAGAGAUAAGUGCUGAAAGCAUCUAAGCACGAAACUUGCCCCGAGAUGAGUUCUCCCUGACCCUUUAAGGGUCCUGAAGGAACGUUGAAGACGACGACGUUGAUAGGCCGGGUGUGUAAGCGCAGCGAUGCGUUGAGCUAACCGGUACUAAUGAACCGUGAGGCUUAACCUUACAACGCCGAAGGUGUUU